rnacentral:rRNA from 1 species
GGCGUAGUCGAUGGGAAACGGGUUAAUAUUCCCGUACUUGGUGUUACUGCGAAGGGGGGACGGAGAAGGCUAUGUUGGCCGGGCGACGGUUGUCCCGGUUUAAGCGUAUAGGUGUGUGUUCCAGGUAAAUCCGGUUCACUUUAACACUGAGGCGUGAUGACGAGGCGCUACGGUGCUGAAGCAACAAAUGCCCUGCUUCCAGGAAAAGCCUCUAAGCAUCAGGUAACAUCAAAUCGUACCCCAAACCGACACAGGUGGUCAGGUAGAGAAUACCAAGGCGCUUGAGAGAACUCGGGUGAAGGAACUAGGCAAAAUGGUGCCGUAACUUCGGGAGAAGGCACGCUGACAUGUAGGUGAAGUGAUUUACUCACGGAGCUGAAGUCAGUCGAAGAUACCAGCUGGCUGCAACUGUUUAUUAAAAACACAGCACUGUGCAAACACGAAAGUGGACGUAUACGGUGUGACGCCUGCCCGGUGCCGGAAGGUUAAUUGAUGGGGUCAGCGCAAGCGAAGCUCCUGAUCGAAGCCCCGGUAAACGGCGGCCGUAACUAUAACGGUCCUAAGGUAGCGAAAUUCCUUGUCGGGUAAGUUCCGACCUGCACGAAUGGCGUAAUGAUGGCCAGGCUGUCUCCACCCGAGACUCAGUGAAAUUGAACUCGCUGUGAAGAUGCAGUGUACCCGCGGCAAGACGGAAAGACCCCGUGAACCUUUACUAUAGCUUGACACUGAACAUUGAGCCUUGAUGUGUAGGAUAGGUGGGAGGCUUUGAAGUGUGGACGCCAGUCUGCAUGGAGCCGACCUUGAAAUACCACCCUUUAAUGUUUGAUGUUCUAACGUGGACCCGUAAUCCGGGUUGCGGACAGUGUCUGGUGGGUAGUUUGACUGGGGCGGUCUCCUCCUAAAGAGUAACGGAGGAGCACGAAGGUUGGCUAAUCCUGGUCGGACAUCAGGAGGUUAGUGCAAUGGCAUAAGCCAGCUUGACUGCGAGCGUGACGGCGCGAGCAGGUGCGAAAGCAGGUCAUAGUGAUCCGGUGGUUCUGAAUGGAAGGGCCAUCGCUCAACGGAUAAAAGGUACUCCGGGGAUAACAGGCUGAUACCGCCCAAGAGUUCAUAUCGACGGCGGUGUUUGGCACCUCGAUGUCGGCUCAUCACAUCCUGGGGCUGAAGUAGGUCCCAAGGGUAUGGCUGUUCGCCAUUUAAAGUGGUACGCGAGCUGGGUUUAGAACGUCGUGAGACAGUUCGGUCCCUAUCUGCCGUGGGCGCUGGAGAACUGAGGGGGGCUGCUCCUAGUACGAGAGGACCGGAGUGGACGCAUCACUGGUGUUCGGGUUGUCAUGCCAAUGGCACUGCCCGGUAGCUAAAUGCGGAAGAGAUAAGUGCUGAAAGCAUCUAAGCACGAAACUUGCCCCGAGAUGAGUUCUCCCUGAGACUUUAAGUCUCCUGAAGGAACGUUGAAGACGACGACGUUGAUAGGCCGGGUGUGUAAGCGCAGCGAUGCGUUGAGCUAACCGGUACUAAUGAACCGUGAGGCUUAACCUU